rnacentral:rRNA from 1 species
GAUGAACGCUGGCGGCGUGCCUAAUACAUGCAAGUCGAGCGAACAGAUGAGGAGCUUGCUCCUCUGACGUUAGCGGCGGACGGGUGAGUAACACGUGGAUAACCUACCUAUAAGACUGGGAUAACUUCGGGAAACCGAAGCUAAUACCGGAUAAUAUAUUGAACCGCAUGGUUCAAUAGUGAAAGACGGUUUUGCUGUCACUUAUAGAUGGAUCCGCGCCGCAUUAGCUAGUUGGUAAGGUAACGGCUUACCAAGGCAACGAUGCGUAGCCGACCUGAGAGGGUGAUCGGCCACACUGGAACGGAGACACGGUCCAGACUCCUACGGGAGGCAGCAGUAGGGAAUCUUCCGCAAUGGGCGAAAGCCUGACGGAGCAACGCCGCGUGAGUGAUGAAGGUCUUCGGAUCGUAAAACUCUGUUAUUAGGGAAGAACAAAUGUGUAAGUAACUAUGCACGUCUUGACGGUACCUAAUCAGAAAGCCACGGCUAACUACGUG